rnacentral:lncRNA from 1 species
CCAUCAUGUGGAUACUUUGUUUUCUUCAAAUAAAAUGUAACCUUUUUAUAACAGAGACUAGAAAACCCAGCCAUCCCAACACCCAGGAUAGAGGCACUCUCCAUUCCUGAUUGUUCCAAGGCUCAAGUGGUCAGAAAUGACUGGGAAGAAGGGAGAAAAACUCAGGUGGCAAAGGACAUGGACGAAAACCCAUGGCGACAUGGAAAGAAAACCCUGUGAUAUAGAGAGGAAAAGCACAGGACAGCUUAUUGGGGAGAAUGGAACUCUUCUGUAUCCUGAUUGCGGUGAUGGCCACGCAUGGCUGUAAGUGGGUUGAAAUGGAUAGAAGGUACACCCCUCUCCCCUGUCAAUUUUUACUGUAGGGUCUUUUUUUUUUUUUUUUUUUUUUUUUGAGAUGGACUCUGUCUCCCAGGUUGGAGUGCAGUGGUGCUAUCUUGACUCACUGCAACCUCUGCCUCCUGGGUUCAAGCGAUUCUCCUGCUUCAGCCUCCCGAGUAGCUGGGAUUACAGGUAUGCACCACCAUGCCCAGUUAAUUUUUC